rnacentral:rRNA from 1 species
GAUGAACGCUGGCGGCGUGCCUAAUACAUGCAAGUCGAGCGAACGGACGAGAAGCUUGCUUCUCUGAUGUUAGCGGCGGACGGGUGAGUAACACGUGGAUAACCUACCUAUAAGACUGGGAUAACUUCGGGAAACCGGAGCUAAUACCGGAUAAUAUUUUGAACCGCAUGGUUCAAAAGUGAAAGACGGUCUUGCUGUCACUUAUAGAUGGAUCCGCGCUGCAUUAGCUAGUUGGUAAGGUAACGGCUUACCAAGGCAACGAUGCAUAGCCGACCUGAGAGGGUGAUCGCCCACACUGGAACGGAGACACGUCCCAGACUCCUGCGGGAGGCAGCAGUAGGGAAUCUUCCGCAAGGGACGAAAGCCUGACGUAGCAACGCCGCGUGAGUGAUGAAGGUCUUCGGAUCGUAAAACUCUGUUAUUAGGGAAGAACAUAUGUGUAAGUAACUGUGCACAUCUUGACGGUACCUAAUCAGAAAGCCACGGCUAACUACGUG